ACUCCAGUUUGUGAACAAAGUCCUGUCUAUCUUCACAAUAAGAGAUCUCCGACCACUGACCAAACUCCAUUUGUAACCACUGCCUAUUUUUACCUUCUCAUGAAUGAGUCUUUUUCAUUUGCACUGAACGGGACAUAACAACAUUGUCACCAGAUAAAUGACUGGCUACUUGGCCUACAUGGAAUAAUCGGCACAUGGAAUAGUUGUGGAUCACUUUGGGAAUAUAUUGGCAUCUGUUAUUUAUCAUGAUGGCUUUGACAAAAUGGGAUCUACCAUGUUUACUUUUUUCUUUUUCCAUGGAGUCAUUUCCUCGCACAAAAGAGGAAGUUUACUUGGCAUCAUUCACCUGUGGCUACAUGUAGGCCCUGUUUACCAGCCAUCAUGAGUCCGCCACACCUACCAAAUACAAAAAAGCUUACACGAAACCUCUCAAAACUCAAGCACACCAACUGAAAAAUGGCAUCUGGAUCAGUUUUGGCACAUGAAUCCAACAGCGAAACACCUGGACUUUUUCUCAAAUCCACCAGCUUCGUCCCCAAGCUGCUAGCAAAGAAACACAGAGGACAGAGAGUCAGAGAGCGAGCGUACUCACCAUACGGAAGCUCCAUAUUAGUGCUGGCCUGAGCGUUAACAUUGACCAUGCUGUUCCUCGUGCUCCCUACAGCUGAUUGUUGGUCUUUUCGUUUUCUUCAAGAGAAUAAAAGUUUGAGAUGCAA